ACCAUGCAAGUCGAACGGCAGCACAGAGGAGCUUGCUCCUUGGGUGGCGAGUGGCGGACGGGUGAGGAAUACAUCGGAAUCUACUCUGUCGUGGGGGAUAACGUAGGGAAACUUACGCUAAUACCGCAUACGACCUACGGGUGAAAGCAGGGGAUCUUCGGACCUUGCGCGAUUGAAUGAGCCGAUGUCGGAUUAGCUAGUUGGCGGGGUAAAGGCCCACCAAGGCGACGAUCCGUAGCUGGUCUGAGAGGAUGAUCAGCCACACUGGAACUGAGACACGGUCCAGACUCCUACGGGAGGCAGCAGUGGGGAAUAUUGGACAAUGGGCGCAAGCCUGAUCCAGCCAUACCGCGUGGGUGAAGAAGGCCUUCGGGUUGUAAAGCCCUUUUGUUGGGAAAGAAAUCCAGCUGGCUAAUACCCGGUUGGGAUGACGGUACCCAAAGAAUAAGCACCGGCUAACUUCGUGCCAGCAGCCGCGGUAAUACGAAGGGUGCAAGCGUUACUCGGAAUUACUGGGCGUAAAGCGUGCGUAGGUGGUCGUUUAA
rnacentral:rRNA from 1 species